rnacentral:misc_RNA from 1 species
AGCAUGGAUUUUCAUCCUUCUCAGCAGACAUUGCUUCUAGUUGGCACGAAUGUUGGAGAUAUUGCAUUAUGGGAAGUUGGUUCAAGGGAGAGACUGGUAUUGAGAAACUUCAAAGUCUGGGACUUGAGUGCAUGUUCAAUGCCAUUACAGACUGCUCUGGUAAAAGAUCCUGGUGUCUCAGUUAACCGUGUUAUAUGGAGCCCCGACGGUUCGUUAUUUGGGGUUGCGUACUCUAGGCACAUUGUUCAAAUAUAUUCCUAUCACGGGAAUGAUG